UUAAAGCUCUCUUCGGAGAGUGCAUAGAGUGGCGCACGGGUGAGUAACACGUAAGUAAUCUACCCUCGAGUGGGGAAUAACGUCCGGAAACGGACGCUAAUACCGCAUAAUGCAGCGGCACCGCAAGGUGACAGUUGUUAAAGAUUUAUCGCUUGAGGAGGAGCUUGCGGCAGAUUAGCUAGUUGGUAAGGUAAUGGCUUACCAAGGCUACGAUCUGUAACCGGUCUAAGAGGACGGUCGGUCACACUGACACUGAAUAACGGGUCAGACUCCUACGGGAGGCAGCAGUCGGGAAUUUUGGGCAAUGGGCGAAAGCCUGACCCAGCAACGCCGCGUGAAGGAUGAAGUAUUUCGGUAUGUAAACUUCGAAAGAAUAGGAAGAAUAAAUGACGGUACUAUUUAUAAGGUCCGGCUAACUACGUGCCAGCAGCCGCGGUAAUACGUAGGGACCAAGCGUUGUUCGGAUUUACUGGGCGUAAAGGGCGCGUAGGCGGUGUUGUAAGUCACUUGUGAAAUCUCUGAGCUUAACUCAGAACGGCCAAGUGAUACUGCAGUACUAGAGUGCGGAAGGGGCAAUCGGAAUUCUUGGUGUAGCGGUGAAAUGCGUAGAUAUCAAGAGGAACACCUGAGGUGAAGACGGGUUGCUGGGCCGACACUGACGCUGAUGCGCGAAAGCCAGGGGAGCAAACGGGAUUAGAUACCCCGGUAGUCCUGGCCCUAAACGAUGAAUACUUGGUGUCUGGAGUUAUUUGUGCUCCGGGUGCCGUCGCUAACGUUUUAAGUAUUCCGCCUGGGGAGUAC
rnacentral:rRNA from 1 species